rnacentral:lncRNA from 1 species
UUUGACCUCUAAUCAUCCUUCAAACCUUAAGCCACCAAAUAUGUAAAAAAGCUACUACUUAAGUAAGAUCCUGCAUUAAGAAAACCACUUUUUUCCCAUAUCAUUUCAUCUAAUUCCACUGAAAUGGAGAAGCGUGAGCACAGAGGAUCUUAUAAAAAAAUUACACAACAUUGAGUUAGCAUAGGAAAUGUUGUAAAACUUGGGUCGGGGGAGCCAAGGUUCCAAAUUUAGCAAUUUCCAACAGAGCCAAUGCAAAUUUAGCAUGAUUACACCAAAUGUGGUGUGAGUCAAUUAAUCAAAACAAAAAAAAAAUGGUUCCAAGUGGUCUUUUGCAAAUUAAGCCAUUUGAUUAUGAAGCA